AUCUUAGAGAAUGCUGGUCAUUUGCCACUUGCUUAUGUAACUGCUAAAGUGCAUGGGCUAGAGGAUGUUGCUGAACAUCUGGCUGCUGAGUUAGGAGAUAAUGUUCCAUCUGUGCCAGAGGGUAAAGUGCCCUCCCUUCUGAUGCCUCCAGUUCCUGUUAUGUGUGGUGGUGAUUGGCCCCUUCUAAGAGUCAUGAAAGGUAUUUUUGAAGGUGGACUUGAUAAUAUGGGCAGAGGUGGUGCUGAUGAAGAUGAAGACACUGGUGAAGUAGGUGAAGGUGAUUGGGGUGGGCUGGAUAUUGUUGAUGAGGAUGGCUUAGGGGAUGUUACAGCAAUUUUGGAGGAUGGGGAAGUGGCUGAAGAAAAUGAAGAGGACGGAGGAUGGGAACUUGAAGACUUGGAGCUUCCCCCUGAGCAAGACACACCAAGGGCUUCAGUCAGUGCUCGCUCUUCAGUUUUUGUGGCACCAA
rnacentral:misc_RNA from 1 species